UGUUGCGGAAAGGAUUGUUGAUAAAGCUUCAGUGGAGACAACUUUACCCCAUGAUAAUAACUCUUCCAGGAGUGAACUUUUCUUCCAAAAGACACCGAGGCAUUUAACAUCUUUCCAGCUUCUUUCCAGCUUCACGCUUCCGGCCACAGGGGGAGUUGUUGCUUCACCGUCCACUGGGGCUGUUCUUCCUCAUUCUUUUCCUCACGUUUUGCUGGCAGUUUUAUGGUGUUGUAAAUUAGUUAAAUUAGCCUCCCGCAUAAAGCGUCCCUAAAUUUUCCCUACUUGACAGAUGCAACUGUCUUCCGGGGCUGUAUAGGUCAACAGCAAGCCAGGGCUAUUAAUGGUCGGCGGCUUAACCUGACCCGGGCUUCGAACUCAUGACCUCUCGGUCAAUAGUGAUUUAUAGCAGCUGGUUACUAGCCAGCUACUAUUUACAGCUACUCAGUGGAGUUAAAGUUACCUUGAUUUAACAACUUUGCUGGAUACCUUUGCAUUUGCUUUGCAGCUUGGUCUUGGGGAGAAGGGUGGGGUAGAAAUAUCGGAAACAAAUAAAUAAAUCUCAGAUCCAGCUAGAGGAGUUAACUUUUCCUCUGUUACUAAUCUGAUUGCACAGAUGUCAUUGCUGCUUCAAUUGGUCACACUGGUACUUUGAUUUUAAUUGAUUCAAAACUAUGUAAUUCCAGAGAGUCAAUCUUCUAUUUGUCUUGACCUGGGAGAGAUCACAUCCUGAUGUAGGUGCAGUAUAGGUCCGAUGGUAGGCAUUUUAUUCGAUUCUAAGUUUGGGUAGGAUUUGUGGGAGGACCCAAUUUGACCCUUGGCUACGAGAGUGCUGGACUCUUGAGUGCUUCUCUGCUGUGUUCCAUCUGCUGCACCUUUUGCUGUCAAUAUAAUGUUUUAUGCUCUAGCAAUAUUAUAUGUGCAUGUUUAGUGCUAGAACAGUUGGCAAGACCAGAAACUACAGCCAUUUCCAAAGCAAGACACAUGUUGAAUACAUUUCCUCUUUAAAUUGUUUUGUUUUGGAUAUGAGUUAUUGGCUGUAUUAUUUAAUAGACAGCAAGAUGUCUCCUAUAAACUUUUUUUACAUGGGUGAUACUUCCAUGUCCUUAUAUCCCAGGAUCUGAUCCCAGAUUAUCUUCUUAUCCCAAAUUAUAUGGCAGUGGAGACUCAUAUACAGUGUCCCCUCACUACUUCGCGGUUCACUUUUCGCGGAUUCACUAUUUUACGGUUUUUCAAUAAACUCUAAAAGACUAUUAUAAAUAAUAAAAAAAUUACAAUUUACAGCAUAAGGAAGUGAGGAAGGAGAAGCCAAAGGGAGAGAAAAGGAGCCCAAGUGGCAACAGGAGGAGGAGGAGGAGAUUUAUCAACACACGAUUGGUUGAUACAGACUUAAAAUAGUGUAUAACUGCUAAAAUAAUGUAUAAAUAUUAAAAUAAAUAUAGCGUCCCUACUUUGCGGAUUUUCAUUUAUUGCAGAUGAUCCUGGAACCUAACCCACGCGAUAAGUGAGGGAACACUGUAGUCCAGUUCAAAGCAGAUAACCUGGGAUCAGAUCCUGGGAUAUAAGGACAGUAUAGAAGAGCCCAUAUGGAUAAUAAUAUAAUUAAAUGGCCUUUUGGCUCAAAAUGCAUUCUCUUGCAUGUACAGACCUUUCCCUCCAAAAGGAAGGGUCAAGCGGUUUUCAAAAAACUUCAUUUUGCUGGACUAUUUUUAAUUAGUAGUUCUGCCAAAAUGGAGCCAGGAUGUGCUGAAACACGGAAACAGGGAUGUCCAGGGACGAUGGAAAGAUAAACAGCCCUUUACGUGAUGCAUCUCAAACAGGAAAUCUGGAUUAAAUUAAAUUUUAAUUAAAAUUAACAAAGCCAAUGCAGUGUAAGAUGCUAAAGGAAACUAUGAAGUUAUUGGAUUGUUUGUGCUUACAUACUUAUACAUUUAAAUGCACCUGCAUAUUUGAUGUCUCAAGGAGAAUGUUCAAACUUAUUCAAAUGGAAUGUUAUGCUCUUCCAAGAGUUGGCAUAUAACACCAUUAGAACCAAAAGAAACUUUUUUGCAUGACUAAAUUGUUCAUAUAAUCAGUGCAGUCAGUUUGCAGUAAAUCAAAUAGCUUCUAAGCCUUUUGGAUUAAGUGCAGUCAAACAGAGAAUUUGUGUGAAUGAUUUCAGAAGUAAACCUGAAGUUAUCUGAAAAUGUAUAUUUUUCUCCUCACUGGAAGAUGCCUCCGAGGUUGCUGUGCCUUCCUUCCAGGCCCAAGAUAACAGUAGCAGAUAGGACCAUAGAGGUGGCAGUUCAGAGCCCCAAUGCCACUAAAAACACAAUGUCUAUCUGACAAAAGUAAAUAUAAUACAUUCAUUUGCAGUUUUGAUUUUUGUGGAUUUGAUUAUUCAGAGAUUUGAUUUAAAUGUUCUCUGUAGGAAUCCCUCCAGUGUGACUCUAUGGACAACUUCUUCUGGUCAUGCUGGAAGACCUAGAGAUUUCUAGAGAGAACACCUCUAUAGGAAUGUCUAGGUUUCUCCAGUGCGAUUCUGUGGUCAACAUUCAGUGACGUCGACCAUAGAGUCAUGCUAUUUAUCGUGUCAGAAGCAAAUCGAGGGUACAAGUUGUAAUGUAUUUGAAAACACAAAGUUUUUUAAAAAACAACUUAAAUAGAGUCAUGCUGAAAGAGCUAGAAAUACCUAGAGGUAAAAGAAAGAAAAUUCUUUAUUCUUAGUUUUUCACUUUCACAGGAGUCUUGUGCCCCUAACUCCUACUUAUGGAGUGUAGUUCUGACUGUACGACAUCCUGUGGCUCCACAGAUUGGGCAUCCUCCUCCAAAGUAGUCAUCCAUCAUUGAAAUGCAAGUGUAUAUGAAGGAAAUGCUAAAGCAUGAUUCCUAAUAGUCCUCCAAGCAUUUUGGAUUUCAGCUCCCAGAAGCCUCGGCUGCUUCGGGUUUCUGAAGUCCAAAAUAUGUGAAAGACCAGAGUUUGAGAAAACUGUGUUAAAGGAUUAUGAACAAUGGCUUUUGUACCCAGGCCUAUCCCUCCUAUGCACAAUUACGACACUUGUCCAUUUGUAACACUUCUCUCAUUGCAGAAUUUUAACAUUCAGUUAAGAAAAACACAACCAGACACAACCUGCAACCAUAACAAAAUAAGUCUCUUUAUAGAAAGUUACUUUCAGGUAGAGGUAAUCAUAUAAAGAACAAAGAGGUCUUACUUGGAUUUAUGGAGACAUUUGGGAGUUACUUAGCCACAAAGCCUAUUUUUACAAAAUGUGAUGUAUCCCACAAGGACUCCCCAAGAAAUAUUGUAUUGCUAUUGUACUUCAAAAUAAAACAUGAUUUUGCUAGUUGGAAUAUUAUAUAUAUAUAUAUAUAUCCAUCAUGAAUAUUAAAGUCCCAAAUGUGUAAAAAAAUUACCUUA